AGCUGGGUCCUGCGCAGAGAUAGGAUUACAAACCCCGUCAGGUCCGGAAGGAAGCAGCGGUAGUAAUCUUUUUCUCUUAGUCGCAGGAAAGCCUAGCUAUC
rnacentral:SRP_RNA from 1 species